rnacentral:sRNA from 1 species
GGCGUUAGCCUGUGCCUGUUACAACUCGCUUCUUGUAUCCAUUUCUGACACGUGACUGAUACACCUGCCUCCCAUCCCCUUCGCACUUUGACCUCGUAAACAAGUGGUCUGACGAAGCAGGGCUUGAGUUACUUGCCCGAGGUUAUGUCACCGAAGGGCAGGGCCGCCUUUAGGCUUACAUCCCUGGAACUCCCACCUCCACAGACCCGUCCGGUGCUGAAAGUCCGUGGGUGCUAUCCCUGGUCAAAUCAGAGCCCCGCUUAGGCUCUCUCAGUGCAGACCCCACCGCGGAGCCCCUAGUGCUUGGCACUGAAGAGCCAGUGCAGGUCUGUUGUCACCAUCAAAACCCACCUCUGGUAUCGCCGGUGGACUGGUGUUUCCAGAUCACAGCAUGGGACGUGAUUGGCUACAUUUGACUGUUUCCUU